rnacentral:lncRNA from 1 species
UUUAAUUUACAAUAACUAGUGGGCCCCCGAAUAACUAAAAGUAAGGAAGACUGUGAACCUACAGUUUGGAGGAUGCAAAUCCAAUGGUAGCCUCGAUGAAAUCAGCUAUCUACAGCCUAUUCUGAGCCUGAAAUUGGUGGAAAGGAUGGUGGUGAGAUUAUAUAAUCCCAGUGAGUAAACAAAUACCAUCUAAAAUAUCUAAAGCCGAGUAAAUGGAGACAGAUAAAAUAGUUUUAACAUACUGUAAUUCAUCACCUUUCAACUUGUUUCAACCAAAUAAAAUCAAUUCAUAUAAAUCGAGUAAUCAACAUGGCUUAUGAAUUUCUUAAAACUUUGGCUCGUGCCAAAAUCAUUCUCAUACCCAGUUAUCAGGGAUACCUUGAUCGAGGGCUAUCCCAAUCGAGUAUGCCAAGGCUGUUAAAAAGUUAUGUACGCAUAAAUCAUGUUUUUAUUUUGAAAACAUAGUCGUUCCUUAGCGUUGGUCGAGUUCACCCUCACGUGGUGGUUUUGCAUGAAGUGAAAAUCUAAAGUUAUAUCUUGGGGGUUACCCUACUCGCCUCUUCAACUGAGGUAAAAUAUAACAGGAUUCAGUGCCCCUCUAAUAAGCUAGUCCACAGAAAAUCGCCCACUACAGCAAGCUAAACCCACCAUACAAUAAAAUUUACAAUAGUAUGACAUGGUAAUUUUAUCAUUAUCCAGCCUAUCAAGGCAAACAACAGUUUAUACAUUUUCAACACAAAUACCAAUUCAACCAUUCAUGCCAAUAUUAUCAUAAGCCAUUCAAUUCAAACCAUGAUUUAUAACACAUCAAUUAGUCUCCAAUUACUCCAUUUUCAAAACCAUCAUUCAAUUUCAAGACAAUUUUAUAAAAUCAUUUCAUUUAAUCACAUUUUGUUUAUAAAAUAUAAAGAUUUACCAUUUAAACUCCUUUUCCAUAAAAUCACAAAAUCGGAUAAAAAUCAUUUUAGAUAAUUAAGAUGAUAGUAAGGUUACUCACUAUUUCGAGGAGUCAAAUUCCAAGUACUCCGAUUCUUGAUCCUCAAGUACUAUCUCUUUACUUUUGCCAGAAUGCUCACCACCUAAACAUAAUGCACAAUAAGUCAUUUACGACAUUGUGCUAAAAUGUUAUAAAUCCAAUUCAGGCUUUAUACUAAUGUAUGAAAUGGGAUGCAAAUUGUUUGGAUUAUUGUCUAAACAUGAUCUUCUACACAAAUUCAAUUGUGUACCUAAAUUAAACGGUAUUGGUGUCACGACUCGGUACUCUCUUCGAGCCCGUGACAACCGUCGCGACAUCCUAAUAGACAUUCGUUACCCGGAGUGCCAACCGAAACCUCGCAAGACUUUAGUACCAUUUUUUUCAUCUCCCCUAUGAGUAAUCAUCGCCAAACCUCAUUUUUAAAGAAUUUUAAGCUUUUUCCCUUUCAAAACCAUGGAAAAAUAAUUUUUGUCUCAUAGGGGCGUUUUCGUCAUUUUUCCUCAAAAUUUUUCGAACCCGACUAAAGAUGUAGUAGAUGAGUGGAAAACACAUAUUUCAUGAUUUAAAAUAAAUUUGGGUGUCUAAAACAUUUAUUAAAAAUGAUAUUACAACUAUUUGAAUAAAAUAAAAAUAUUCAAUAAAAUAUUUUAAUUUCUUGUAAAACAAUAUUUAUAAAGUCAUCGGUAAAUAAUUUUUUUGUAAUGUAAAAGCUAAAUAAAUUCAUACGUACUAUAAUAUAGAUAACCAGGAUAUGAAUUUACUUUACAGUGACUUGUGGGCCUGCAAGGAACAAAAGUGCACAAAGGCAGUAAACCUACAGUUUUUGGAGUAGUAAAGCCAACUAUAAUCCUUGAUGAUAUCUGCUAUCCACAAGCUACCUCGGGCCUAAAAUGAUUGAAAAUGAGGGUGGUGAGAUUAUAAAAUCCCAAUGAGUAAACAGAUACCAUCUAAACCAUCUAAAGCCGAGUAAAUGGAGACAGAUAAAACAGUUUAACAUACUGAAAUUCAUCACCUUUCAACUUGUUUCAACCAAAUAAAAUCAAUUCAUAUAAAUUGAGUAAUUGACAUGGCUUAUGAAUUUCUUAAAACUUUGGCUCCUGUCAAAAUCAUUCUUAUACCUAGUUAUCAGGGAUACCUUGGCCACAGGCUAUCCCAAACCCAGUUCGCCAAAGCUAUUAAAAAGUUAUGUACUCAUAAAUCAUGUUUUUUAUUUUGAAAAUAUAGUCGUUCCUUGGCAUUGGCUGAGUUCGCCUUCACGUGGUGGUUUGGCUUGAAGUGAACUCUAAAAGUUAUACCUCGGGAGUUACCCUACUCGCCUCUCCAACCGAGGUAAGAAUAUGACUAGGUUCCAUGCCCCUCUAAUAGGCUAGUCCACAGAAUUAGCCCACUGCAGCAAGCUAAACCCACCAUACAAUAAAAUUUGUAAUAGCAUGACAUGGCAAUUUUAUCAUUAUCCAGCCUAUCAAAGUAAACAACAGUUAUACAUUUCAACUCAAAUACCAAUUCAGCCAUUCAUGCCAAUAUUGUCAUAAGCCAAUCAAUUGGACCCAUAAAUUCACAAUACAUCAAAUGGUCUCUAAUUACUCUAUUUGAAAAAGCCAUUAUUCAAUUUCAAGACAAUUUUACAAAAUCAUCUCAUUUAAACACAUUUUGUUUAUAAAACAUAAAGAUUUACCAUUUAAACUCAUUUCUCUAUCAAAUCACAAAAACGAUUAAAAACUACUUUAGAUAAUUAAGGCGAUAACAAGGUUACUCAUAGUACUAGGAGUUUGAUAUACUCUUAUUCCCGAUCUUCGGGCACAAUCUCUUUACCUUUGUUAGAGGGCUCACCACCUAUACAUCAUACGUGACACGAAUUUCAAUAAAUUGUGUCAAUGUAUCAUAAACUAUUUCAGGCUCUAAAAAUCUAUAUGAAUGUAUGAAAUGUGAUGCAAAAUGUCCGAAUAGACAUUUAAAUGCGGUAUUCGACCUAAUUCGCACUAUUCUCGGUGUAAUUGGCUAAAACCUCCAAUUUAACUCCAAAUCGAUUUCUUUCAUUUUUUACACUCCAAUUAUUCUUAAAAUACCUCAAUGACUGUGAAUAUGAUUCAAUUUAUCAGUCCGAACCACAAAUCGCACAUGUUUAUACAUUAGGUAAAAAUUCAGAUUUUCAUGCCAAAAUUUCCCAUUUAAAUUUCUAGCCUCACCAAUCAUUAAAUACUACCAAAAUAUCAUGAAAUAUCAUCAAUUUCAGCCUCAAUAUCCUCUCUAGAAAAUUCAACCUCUUGUGGGUUUGUGAAGAACAAAGUGAUUCCUUGCUAGAUUUUCAUACUUUCCAUUACCAAACAACCAAAAACACUUAAUUAGCUCGAAAUCUAGCAAAAUCAAUGCUCAAAACCUCUCCUCUCAAAUUCGGCUAGCAUGGGUUUAUCAUGCAAACUUGAGUUCUAAGCAUGGAAAAUGAAAAAGAAAGCAUGGGUUGUCACGACCCGAAACUCCCAUCGAGCCUGUGACAACCGCCUUGACGUCCCGAUAGGCACUCAUUACCCCGAAUGCCGAUCGAAACCACGCAAGGCUUAGCAUCAGCUUUCGCAUCUCCCCAGUGAGCGACAGCUAUUAAAUCUCACAUUUCAAAAAAAUCAUAAGUCAUUUCCAAAUCAAAACAAUAAAAUAUUACUUUCUGGCUCAUAGGGGCAUUUUCGUCAUUUUUCUUUGAAAAUAUCGAAACUCGCCAAAAACAUGGUGUAAAAGCUAAAUAUAUUCAUACAUACUUUAAAUCAAAUAACUGAAGAAUAAAAUUACUUUUACAGUGACACGUGGGCCCUCAACUGACUAAGAAGAUGUAGGGCUAUGAACCCUUACUUUCUAGGAUGCAACUCUGAGAUUACUUCUCAUCUUAAUCAACUAUCAACAAAUUGUCCUGAGCCUGAAAAAUGGAUAGGAAUAGGGGUGAGAUUAUGAUUACAUAAUCCCAGUGAGUAGACAGACAUCAUCAAAACAAUCUAAAGCCGAGUAAUAGGAGACAAUUAAAAUAAUUCAUCCCAACCCAUAUAAAUAAUUGGAUUUCAUUCAAUUACUCAACAUGGCUUAUGCACUUUUCAAAAACUUGGCCCUUGCCAAAAAUCCAUUCUCGGGGAUACCCCACGGAGGUAUCUUACCGAGACCGCCAAGGCUGUUUAUUGUCACACACACAAACACAUUUCACCUCUGACAACACAGCCGUUCCUUGGCGUUGGCUGAGUCUCACUCUCACGUGGUGGCCCGAACGUGAGGCGCACUCAAAUCCUACCUCGGGAGUUAUCCUACGCGCCUCUCCAAUCGAGGUAAGCUCAUUAAUUGGGAACCGUGCCCCUCUAAUUAGGCUAGCCCACGGAACCCCCGUCACUGCGGUGCCCACUUUAUAACCCACCAACCAAUAAAAUCACAAUAGUAUGACAUGGCUCACUUAACACAUUCAAGGAAAAUCAAAAUAGUUCACAUAUUCUUUAAAUCAUAGAAAUAACUAGCCAUACCCACAUUUAUCAUAAGCCAUUUAAUGUAAAAUCAUGGAUAAACAACACAAUCAUAGUAUAGGUCUCCAAUUACUCUAUUUUUGAAAUCAUUAUUAAAUUUUCAAAAAUUUUAUAAAAUUAUUUUAUAAAAUCUCAUUUUCCCAUAAAACACAAUAAUUUUUCAAUUAAACCAUUUUUCCAUAAAAUCACUCAAUUAAAUAAAUCUACUCUAGAUAAUUAAGAUGAUAGUAAGUUUACUCACAAUUCUAGGAGUCGAUAUACUCCUAUUUUCAGUCCACGGGUACAGUCCUUUACCUGUAUCUAAUGGCUCACCACCUAGCCAUAAUCCAUGGCACAUAUUUCAAUUAAAUUGGGUCUAACAGUCAUAAGCUAUUUCAGGCUCGAUAUAUAUGCGUGAUAUGAAAUGAAAAAUGCACAGGUUAUUGACCUAAGUCGAUUUUUCAUCCAAUAAAUUGGCCAAUGCGUCCAAUUUCACUCAAACUUGCUCCAUUUCUUUUCCAAUCCCUCAAUUCACCAAGCACAACUAAUUAACACACAAUUAGGCAAAAUUUAUCUUCACUUUUCUUCUUGGAACUUUCGGCCAACAAUGGUACACUAACUCCGUGAUUUUUCCUACUUAAUUUUCUUUCCAUAAUUCAUUAAUUCCUACACCAAAAACUAUUAUUUCUUAAUCAAAUCACCUAGAAUAACAUCUCAUUCUUCCUCUUUAUUCACUUAGAGAAUUCGGCUAUUGAUGGGAACCAAACCUUUGGUGGUUUUCUUCACUUGUUUUCAUGCUACACAUCAUUAAUCACCUAAAAACACUAAUAUACCUAAAAAUCAAACCAAUCCAAGAUCAUUCUCUCUCCAUACCCAUUUUGACCAGCCAUGAAUUCAUCAUGAAAACAUGUAAUUUAACCAUGGAACUUAAGGGAAAAUGCAUGGGUAAGGUAAAUCACUAGCAAAAUCAAAGAAAUUUUACCUUUGCUUGAUCAAAUCCUUGAAUUCCAACAUUUUCUCUUUGAUUUGUCCCACCUAGGGUUUGUUUUUCCUUGGUUUCUCUUCUCUUCUGGUUUGGCUGAUCACUAUGGGAGAAAUAGGCUGAUUUUUUUGCCUUUUUAUAAAGAUACAAUAAAAUAAUAAAAACAUGACACAUGGCAUUUCUUUAUUGGUUCAAAUUUUAAAUAUUUAACUUUUAAUUGUUUAAUUCUCCACCACACAUUUCUCAUGUUUAUCCAUCUCCACGAUGAAUAAAAUCCCUUGGUCUUGACAAGUGUCGAGGUGAAAAUUUAUCGAUUUGCCCCCGAGGUGGCAAAAUUACCAUUUCACCCUUAUACUCUAAAUUAUACCGGAAUUAAAAUUUUUCACUUCUAAACUUCAAAUCAUACUCCAAUAAGUCAAAUGGACCAAAAAAAUCUUUUCUAAAAUUUCCAUUUUGUCCCUAAGUGGCAAAUGACCAUUUUGCCCUUAGAUAUUGAAAAUUUCGGUUUGACUCCAAAUUGAUCCUCGAACUCCGAAUUGCCAUUUUGAGUCAUCCAUGAACUGUGAGACUCUUAAUUUCACCUUAAAAUUCCUAUUUGAACUAGUUCGAGGCUUAAUCGACUUAAUAGUACCAUUAGGGGCAAUAUCGUCUUUUAACGAUUUCUCAAACUUCCUAAAUAUGUAACCAUUCUAUUGAGCAUGUAAAUGAUGUCGUAAUUAUUUUAUAGAACAGGGUUUGACAUGGGUAGUGUAAAUCACAAGAUAAAAUUACAAAAUUUUACCUUUAUUAGCUUAAUCCCUUGAAAUCCCAUACUUUUUCUUCAAUUUUCCCACCUAGGGUUUGUGUUCUUUCCUUUCCUCUUCACUUCAUGCUUUUGGCCGGCCAUACGGAUGAGACUAAGAGAGUUUUAAAUAGAUUUUACAAGGAAAUUCUAGAAUAAUCCAAGCUUGACACAUGGCAUGUUUCCAUUGGUCCAU